rnacentral:tmRNA from 1 species
GGGGGCGAAAAGGGUUCGACGGGGAUCGUUGACGUCAGGGCUGCAUGCCGAGGUCCCAUUGGCUCGUUAAACAAAUGGGGUUUAAACAUAAUCGCAGCCAACUACGAUUAUGCCCUGGCUGCCUAAGCGCGGCCAGCGUCCCUUCCGUUCUCUCCUGUAGGGCGGAAUGUGGAUGUCAGAAAAACAGGAUAGUUCCUCUCCGACGCUUAUAGGAGGGGAGCGAAUCUUUAUAAGCUAGUUCUUCCAGAAUCCUGUCUGUGGGAGGUUGGGAGGACGAAUUCAAAACACAGACUAUGUAUGUAGAUGCUCUGGCCGAAGGUUCUCGGACGCGGGUUCGAUUCCCGCCGCCUCCACCA